rnacentral:rRNA from 1 species
GGGAAUCUACCUUUUGCUACGGAAUAACUCAGGGAAACUUGUGCUAAUACCGUAUGUGCCCUUCGGGGGAAAGAUUUAUCGGCAAAGGAUGAGCCCGCGUUGGAUUAGGUAGUUGGUGGGGUAAUGGCCUACCAAGCCGACGAUCCAUAGCUGGUCUGAGAGGAUGAUCAGCCACAUUGGGACUGAGACACGGCCCAAACUCCUACGGGAGGCAGCAGUGGGGAAUAUUGGACAAUGGGCGCAAGCCUGAUCCAGCCAUGCCGCGUGAGUGAUGAAGGCCCUAGGGUUGUAAAGCUCUUUCACCGGUGAAGAUAGUGACGGUAACCGGAGAAGAAGCCCCGGCUAACUUCGUGCCAGCAGCCGCGGUAAUACGAAGGGGGCUAGCGUUGUUCGGAAUUACUGGGCGUAAAGCGCACGUAGGCGGAUACUUAAGUUAGGGGUGAAAUCCCAGGGCUCAACCCUGGAACUGCCUUUAAUACUGGGUAUCUUGAGUUCGAGAGAGGUGAGUGGAAUUCCGAGU